rnacentral:tRNA from 1 species
GUAGAUAUAGUUUAACGAAAACAUUAGAUUGUGAUUCUGAAGACAGGGGUUAAAACCCCCUUAUCCACC